CUCGAAUUUUGAACCCGCAAUUCACUAUACCUAAUGAAAGGCCAUCGUCUCAUUUUCUCCUUUCUCUUCUUUGCCACCGUUGCUUUCGCGGCACUGGCCGGCGGUUGGCAGCCUAUAAAGGAUUUGAAAGAUCCGAACAUCGUAGAGAUCGGAGAGUACGCGGUAAAGGAAUAUAAUAAGAGAGCGAACACCGAUCUGAUACUGGUGAACGUGGUGAAGGGUGAAGAGCAGGUGGUUUCGGGGAUGAAUUAUCGUCUGAUAUUGGAGGUGACAGAGGGAAAGGCCAGCAAGAAGUAUCAGGCGGAAGUUUGGGAGAAGGCGUGGGAGAAUUUCAAGAAUCUAACGUCGUUUGAGCCCGUGAAAGAGUAAUUUUGUGAUUUUAAGGAUUUAAUAAUAAAAUAAAAUAAAAUGUAUUUCUUAAUUUCUCUUAUUUUGUUUGCUUUACUGUGAUUAAUAAUCUCCAAGAAAAUUUGUUGACCAAUAAACAAGACAGCUUGUGCCCUUUUAACGUCUGAAAUUUCUUCUCUUUUCUUUUUUUUUUUUAAUUCUGAUUAGCAUUAAGUUUUAAUUAAAAUUGCAUUAGUUCUUUAAGCCACAUAUUGGAACUGGCCUUGCUCGAACUGUCGAUAUAUGUUGUUAAUCGAAAUUUAUAGUAUCACUAUAGUUUUUAAAAAUUUCUAGCUGCAGUGAAACUGGAAUUAGAAUCGAAAUCAAAUUGAAAUUAUUUGGAACUAAAGCCAUUUCGUUUUAAACCAAAAUCAGCGAUUUUGGGAUUUUGGGUCAUGGUUAGGUUUAAUUUCAUCCACAAGCUGAAUGCGGAUGAAGCUUGGAAAGGGAAAGAUAGGAUGGGUUUUGGAAGAGAAAUUCUCAGGAAAUCUGAAGGAGAAUUCGUCAAAGCCUUCAUAGGUUCUUUUGGUAGAUCUUCAGCCCUCGGGGCAGAGAUUGAAACCAUUCUGAGGCUACGUACUGAGAUCAUCGCUGUUAUUGUGAAGCGAAUAAAGCUGCUGAUUGGAUGGAAAAGUUAGCUCAUCAUUCUCAUUUUGGAAUUUUUGUUGUGGAGGACAUUCCACAACAAAUCAAAGGAAUUUUAUUUAAUUUUAAAAUUGAACGUGAGGAUAGUAUGCUUCGGUUGAUAUGAUAUUUUUUAAUUAUUAAAUGGUGAAAACUACGUGUCACAUCAUUAACUUUUUUAGCAAAUAAUCAUAUGUUAAUCAAUUAAGUAAUUAAAUACACAUGCUCUCCAUUGAUGAUGGUUCAAGCGAAUGAAGAAAAAAUAUAAAGAAGUUUUGCUUCUAAGAUGAAUGCCACAGGCUGAGCUAGCUUCUGCAAUUGGAGUUGCAUUUUGUGAUUAAGGCUCCGUAAAUAACGUGUUUUUCAAAAAUAUUUUUAUUGUAUAAAAUAUUUUGUGAAAAUAUAUUUUUUAUAGUUUAUUUUCUAUUAUUUAAUUUUAAUUUAAAAAAUAAAAUUUAUUAAUAAAUUUAUAUAAAAAGAUCUUAAUCUGAAGCUGAGGAAGGAGUUAAUCCAAGUUUUAUUUGGAAAUCAUUAUGUUAAGGGAAGUUGCUGUUAAAACACGGUUGUAUCAAGCGUAUUGGAGAUGGGAUGGACACGCUGGUUGGUAUAUAAAGCUCCAUGGCUGCCAGACAUUGCUACUCCAUAUGUACAGAGUGUCAACACAACCGGAAUGGAGGAUGGAACUAUUUCUGAUUUGUUCAGGUCAAGACAACGAGCAUGGGAUAUGGAACUGCUGCAAACUCUGUUAUCUAGGCAGUUUUGCGAGGCAAUGCUGGUUAUUGACUAAUUGUGGCUGGUGGGGAGCUGUGAUGAUAGUUCAAGAAUGGUUUGAAGUAGUGAGAAAUCGGGUCAGCAAAGAAGAGGUGCAGGAAGCAGUUACGGUGUGCUGGGAGUUAUGGAACGCCAGAAAUAGAGUGUUGUGGGAGCAGAAACGUACAAAUGCAGCAGCAGUGUAUCAGAAAACUCAGAACUGUUUACAGGAAUGGCAUAUGGCAAGGAGCCAACCUGUUAGCUUUGCUUCACUUAAUUGCCGAGUUUUUAUCUCGAUGGACAGCACCAGCAAUGACCACUAUUAAAUGCAACGUUGAUGCAAUUUAUAACGCUGGUUCUAGAAUUGCAGCAGCUGGGAUGGUGAUUAGGAACCAUGAAGGUCAGUUUGUAGCUGGUAGGCAUGUUCCCAUGGGAGUGGUUCAGAGUGUAUUCGUGAGGCACUAUCUUGGGCGAAGGAUAAAGCAGGAAAUCUGGAUUUGAUAGUUGAGAUGGUCAGUUUAUUGGUGUACCAAGCACUCUGUGGAUCAACAGAAAAUCUCUAGUUAUUAAGGACUGUAAAACUCUAGUCUUUGAGUUUAGGUCUGACAGUUUUGCUUUUGUUUGGAAAUCAGCAAACCAUGUCGCUCAUGAAUUACCAGUGGCUCUAUGUUUGGUUUGGUGGAUUGGGCAGCUAACCCUCCAUUUAUUUUUUACAUUAAAUUGAUUUUUUUUUCAAUUUAAUUAAAAUAUUAAACAAAUAAUUAAUUAUGCAAAAACAGAGUCUGAUUCUUUGCCUUGGUAAAUUAUUCCUUUCUUGUUUAUAAUUGUUACUCUAAUCUAUCCCUACAUAUUGAGUUUGGAAUCUUAUUCUCCAUUAUAUAUAGCAUUCUUAAUUAAUGAAAACUACUAUGAACUUCUCCCCAAAUAUUCAAGUUCUCUUAUUUGCUAAUCAAGCGAUAAUUUAAUUUUUUUUUUUUUUAAAGUGUAGGAAGUAAUUGAGAUUUCAAAUUUAAAUCUCUCGAUUUACACAGUGAGAUCAAUCCAGAUUUGUUAGAGAUUAUAUCUACACAUUUCUCAAAAAAAAUAUAUGGUUAAGGUAAUUUGUGGGAGCUCCUUCUUUGCCCUUCUACUUAUUUUCUCAGCUAUUUUGAUGGUGGUGCCUAAUGGAGAAUCACAAGAAAUAUGCCAUGCUGAAAUUCCAGGAAAUGGAAAAUGUGAUGAAGGAAAAUGCCAAACACAGUGCUCCAACUUAAACCAAGGGAUUGGAAUCUGCACUCAGACUUUUUUUAAUCGCUUCAAUUGCAUUUGCAAUUGGCAAUGUUCUUAAAUAUUAUGCACUUAUCACCAAUUCUUUAUUUUUUUUAAUAUAUAUAUAUAUUAAUCCUGAAAAUGGUUAUGUAUGAUUUUAAGGAAAGUAAUCUAACAAAUUCUAAGUUAUUAAUAAAUGAAAAUUAAUUUCCUGAAAUUUAGUAAAACUAUGUAUGAAUAAAUGAGUAUUUAUUUUCCCUACUCUUUCACCCAUGCAUCCGAUUGUCACCUGCACUGAUGUUUUCUUUUUUCCUUUUCCUUUUUUUUUUUUUUUUAAUGAAAGAAUCCCUUCCUCUUUAACCUUAUCUCUCCCGUAUGGAGGAGCCGACACCGGUGAAGAUGAAAAAAUCUAGAAGGGCUGAAUGAGUAGAGAAGAAUAAGAAAAAAGGGAGGAGGGCGAGAGGAGGAUUUAGAUCCAGGUUAGAUAUGAUCAAUUGAAGAAGAUUGAGGACAAAAGAAGAAGAAGACGGUCUGUGGAUGAAGAUUAAGGGAAAAAAAGAUGAAAAGGACCGAAAGAUGAAGAUUAAGGGGAAAAAAAGAUGAAAAGGACCCAAGGGUGAGAGAGAUGGUAAAGUUGGGCGGUGAUUAGAGAUGGUUUCUCAAGAUUAUUGUGCUAAGCAUUAAAAUUAACAGAAUCUAUUAACAAUUGUUACUAGAAGGAUUAAAUUAUUAUAAUUUAAAAUAAGGAAAGACAUUUUAAUUGAUCCUAAGAAUUAUAAUAAUUUAUUUUAUUUUAUUAUUUUUCAAACAGCUCGGUGGUUGCUCAACAAACUUCCUCUUCCAGUAUACCCUUUAGAAACAUUUUACUAGACAUCCAUUCAAUAACUUUGAGCAACAAAUGAAAAAUCAUAGACACUAUAUCCAAUCUUGCAAUAGAAGUAUUAAAACAUUAGUUUUCUCCUUUAGACUUGUCUACUUGACUUCAAUUGACUUGUUUUCUUUUAUUAAAUUUGUUAAUUCUUCAUUCAUUUCCUUAAUCAAUUAGCUACUUUCUUGAACUGAUUAUAAUUUGCAAAAAAAAGCAAAACUCGCAAUAUUUUCCUUGUUAUAAUUAUUGAGUAUUUUAGAAUCUUCUAAAUAACACGACAUCUAAAUACCAGAGGAGAUGGCUCUUUAGAAAUUAUAGAACAAAUUGGCUCACCACUAUGAUUAAUUAUUUCUACUUCAUUGUUUAUAAACACAAAUACUAAUAGCAAUAUUUUUUUUCUUUUAACUAAUUUUAUAUUCUAAUUUCGUUAAAAUUAAUAUUUCGAAUGAGAAUCGUGUUUUUAAUUUUUGGGUUGUAUGAUUUCUUAACCUUUGUUUAUAAAUCAAAAUAAACUUUUUCAACCUCAUUAUCAAGCUUCUUUCUUUCUCAAUUAAUCAACUACAUGUGGAAUGGCAAUGCAAUAGAACACACUUAGACGACCAAGAUUAGGCUUUCAUCCACUUAAUGCUUCUUCUUGUUCGCGUUAAUUUUAAUAAAAUACUCUAUUUAUCUUAUAAUUUUUAUUUAUUUUAUUUUAUUUAUAUAUGAUAACCGUGGACUUUUUAGGUUCGAGAGCAAAGCAAGACUCCAAUGAGAAAGGCAGGCUCAAAGCACACCAAACCCUUCUUGAAGUGAAAUAACCUAGAUUGCGUGUUCCAGCCCUAUCCAGGAAUCAGUUCGGACAGACCUCACACGCGGACUAUUUCAAAGGAAGCCCAAACUGGUGAUGUGACCAGAGAAAGAAGAGCAGACCCAGUCACUUUGCAGCCCUGCCCGCAUGUGCACUGGGAGAAUUAAAUGGCCGCCUGGCGUGAAGAGGUACUCGAACGCAUCCGUAUGUACGGGUCUGAGUGACAGAGACCGGUGUCACUAUUGUAGCAGAGAGACAGUUAGACAUCACUAGCGGACAAAAGAAAAGGGACAAAAAGGAUGACGUCUUCCUCUCCGUCUAAAUUUACACAACCAUUAUAAACUCUUUUUACUUGAUCUC